GCCCUCAUGGCUCAGGGGUAGAGCGUCGCACUCGUACACUCGUACAAUGCGAAGGUCCGUCGUUCAAAUCGGCGUGAGGGCA
rnacentral:tRNA from 1 species